rnacentral:rRNA from 1 species
UACCAAGGGAGCUAGCGUUGCUCGAAAUUACUGGGCGUAAAGGGAGCGUACGCGGACUGUUUACUCAGAUGUGAAAGCCCAGGGCUCAACCUUGGAAUUGCCUUUGAUUCUGACAGACUUGAGUACGGAAGAGGCAUGUGGAACUCCGAGUGUAUAAGUGAAAUUCUUAAAUAUUCGGAAGAACACCGGUGGUCAACGCGACAUACUGGUCCGUUACUGACUCUGAAGCUCGAAAGCGUGGGGAGCAAACAGG